CUUUCUGGGGACUGAGACACUGUUUUUAUCCAAGGAAAAUGUGUUCAGCCUGUCCACCAACGAGCCCUGUUGGCAGCACCUAUUUCCACAAGCAACAAUCUACAGUGAUUAUGACAGAGCAAACUGAGACAUAACUAUCCACAGGCACUCAGAAAGUAGCUGGCAGAAUUCACCUGGAGCCUGGGAAUCCUGCUGUCCAUUCCUCUGCUAACCCACAGCACCUCUGCCCACAGUCCUCCUUUUCCUGAGCAUGGGAUUAUCCCAGGAGCACUGGAGCUCUUCUGUGAUAAGAUUCACCCACCUGGAGAAGCAAACAAUAUUGCCACAGUUUGAUAAGUUUCCUGGAAUUAAUCUUGCCUCUUGGAUGGAAACCUUUGGAAGUCACUUGUAUGAGACACAUGGAAAAGCUUCCACUUGCUUGAAGAAACAGGGAAAAAUCAGAACCAUCAGG